rnacentral:rRNA from 1 species
GCGUGGGUAGCAAACAGGAUUAGAUACCCUGGUAGUCCACGCGGUAAACGAUGUCGACCAGCCGUUGGGUGCCUAGCGCACUUUGUGGCGAAGUUAACGCGAUAAGUCGACCGCCUGGGGAGUACGGCCGCAAGGUUAAAACUCAAAUGAAUUGACGGGGGCCCGCACAAGCGGUGGAGCAUGUGGUUUAAUUCGAUGCAACGCGAAGAACCUUACCUACUCUUGACAUCCUGCGAAUUCGGUAGAGAUACCUUAGUGCCUUCGGGAGCGCAGAGACAGGUGCUGCAUGGCUGUCGUCAGCUCGUGUUGUGAAAUGUUGGGUUAAGUCCCGUAACGAGCGCAACCCUUGUCCUUAUUUGCCAGCACGUAAUGGUGGGAACUCUAAGGAGACUGCCGGUGACAAACCGGAGGAAGGUGGGGACGACGUCAAGUCAUCAUGGCCCUUACGAGUAGGGCUACACACGUGCUACAAUGGCUGGUACAAAGGGCUGCGAGCUCGCGAGAGUCAGCGAAUCCCUUAAAGCCGGUCUCAGUCCGGAUCGGAGUCUGCAACUCGACUCCGUGAAGUCGGAAUCGCUAGUAAUCGUGAAUCAGAAUGUCACGGUGAAUACGUUCCCGGGCCUUGUACACACCGCCCGU